rnacentral:rRNA from 1 species
AGAGUUUGAUCCUGGCUCAGGAUGAACGCUAGCGACAGGCUUAACACAUGCAAGUCGAGGGGCAGCGGGGGCGAAGCUUGCUUCGCCUGCCGGCGACCGGCGCACGGGUGAGUAACACGUAUGCAACCUACCCCCUGCAGGGGAAUAACCCGGAGAAAUCCGGACUAAUACCACACGGCACUUUCGGGAGGCAUCUUCUGAGGGUUAAAGGAGCGAUCCGGCCGGGGAUGGGCAUGCGGCGCAUUAGCUAGUCGGCGGGGUAACGGCCCACCGAGGCGACGAUGCGUAGGGGUUCUGAGAGGAAGGUCCCCCACACUGGUACUGAGACACGGACCAGACUCCUACGGGAGGCAGCAGUGAGGAAUAUUGGUCAAUGGGCGGGAGCCUGAACCAGCCAAGUCGCGUGAGGGACGACGGUCCUAUGGAUUGUAAACCUCUUUUGUCGGGGAACAAGGGCGCCCACGGGUGGGCGGAUGAGUGUACCCGAAGAAAAAGCAUCGGCUAACUCCGUGCCAGCAGCCGCGGUAAUACG